GAUGAACGCUGGCGGCGCGCCUAACACAUGCAAGUCGAACGGUUAAAGCACCUUUUAGGUGUGUAUAAAGUGGCGAACGGCUGAGUAACACGUGGGCAACCUGCCCUCCUCUUGGGGAUAGCCUCGGGAAACCGAGGAUAAUACCCGAUACUUCAAUGUGGCCGCAUGGCGACAUUGAGAAAGCUUUUGCGGAGAAGGAUGGGCCCGCGGCCUGUUAGCUUGUUGGUGGGGUAGAGGCCUACCAAGGCAAUGAUGGGUAGCUGGGUUGAGAGACCGACCAGCCAGAUUGGGACUGAGACACGGCCCAGACUCCUACGGGAGGCAGCAGUGGGGAAUCUUGCACAAUGGGCGAAAGCCUGAUGCAGCGACGCCGCGUGCGGGACGAAGGCCUUUCGGGUUGUAAACCGCUUUGCAGCAGGGACGAGGCGAUAAGUGACGGUACCUGCAGAAGA
rnacentral:rRNA from 2 species